rnacentral:lncRNA from 1 species
GGGAUGGCCACUGUGAAGGACGCCUUCCCAGCCUGCCCGUUGCCAAUCUGCUGUGAGAGGGGGGCCUCCCUGCCUUGGGGCCUUAGCCCUGGCUCUGCACUUUUCCUCCGGGGAGAAAGGACACUGCCCCUCCCCCGACCUGGGCCCACACUGCUGCCUUCUCCCAGGACGGAGGCUUUUGGACCCUCGGACCCCAUCCCACUCAGCCAAGUGUCUUUCUGUGUCUGGGGGGAGGAGGGGAUGAUAUCCGUGUGGUUCGAUGUAUUAUUUUUAAGCUCCGUGAGUGCGUGGGUCAGUGUCUGCAUGAAGUGGAAUAAACUGCCCACCGCCAGCCCCCCUCUCAGAUCCUCUGUCCCUGUGAACCCUG